rnacentral:rRNA from 1 species
CAUGCAAGUCGAACGGCAGCACAGUAAGAGCUUGCUCUUAUGGGUGGCGAGUGGCGGACGGGUGAGGAAUACAUCGGAAUCUACUCUGUCGUGGGGGAUAACGUAGGGAAACUUACGCUAAUACCGCAUACGACCUACGGGUGAAAGCAGGGGAUCUUCGGACCUUGCGCGAUUGAAUGAGCCGAUGUCGGAUUAGCUAGUUGGCGGGGUAAAGGCCCACCAAGGCGACGAUCCGUAGCUGGUCUGAGAGGAUGAUCAGCCACACUGGAACUGAGACACGGUCCAGACUCCUACGGGAGGCAGCAGUGGGGAAUAUUGGACAAUGGGCGCAAGCCUGAUCCAGCCAUACCGCGUGGGUGAAGAAGGCCUUCGGGUUGUAAAGCCCUUUUGUUGGGAAAGAAAUCCAGC